rnacentral:rRNA from 1 species
AACGCGAAGAACCUUACCAAGACUUGACAUCCUGCUGAAAGGUGUAGAGAUACAUCCUCCCUUCGGGGCAGCAGAGACAGGUGGUGCAUGGUUGUCGUCAGCUCGUGUCGUGAGAUGUUGGGUUAAGUCCCGCAACGAGCGCAACCCUUAUCAUUAGUAGCCAUCAGGUAAAGCUGGGCACUCUAAUGAGACUGCCGUGGAUAACACGGAGGAAGGUGGGGAUGACGUCAAAUCAUCAUGCCCCUUAUGUCUUGGGCUACACACGUGCUACAAUGGCUGCAACAAAGUGAAGCAAAACCGCGAGGUGAAGCAAAGCACAAAAAAGCAGUCCCAGUUCGGAUUGUAGUCUGCAACUCGACUACAUGAAGUCGGAAUCGCUAGUAAUUGCAAAUCAGAAUGUUGCGGUGAAUACGUUCCCGGGUCUUGUACACACCG